rnacentral:tRNA from 1 species
GGAGAGAUGGCCGAGAGGUCGAAGGCGCUCGUUUGGAAGGCGAGUGAACGUAUCCACGUUCCGUGGGUUCGAAUCCCACUCUCUCCGCCA